rnacentral:misc_RNA from 1 species
GAUGAAGAACGUAGCGAAAUGCGAUAAGUAAUGUGAAUUGCAGAAUUCAGUGAAUCAUAGAAUCUUUGAACGCACAUUGCGCCCGCCAGUAUUCUGGCGGGCAUGCCUGUCUGAGCGUCAUUUCAACCCUCAUGCCCCUAGGGCGUGGUGUUGGGGAUCGGCCAAAGCCCGCAAGGGACGGCCGGCCCCUAAAUCUAGUGGCGGACCCGUCGUGGCCUCCCCUGCGAAGUAGUGAUAUUCCGCAUAGGAGAAGCGACGAGCCCCUGCCGUUAAACCCCCAACUUUCUCAGGUUGACCUCAUAUCAGGUAGGAAUACCCGCUGAACUUAAGCAUAUCAAUAAGCGGAGGA